rnacentral:rRNA from 1 species
AUUGAACGCUGGCGGCAUGCUUUACACAUGCAAGUCGGACGGCAGCGCGGGCUUCGGCCUGGCGGCGAGUGGCGAACGGGUGAGUAAUACAUCGGAACGUGCCCAGUAGUGGGGGAUAGCUCGGCGAAAGCCGGAUUAAUACCGCAUACGACCUGAGGGUGAAAGCGGGGGACUUUAGGGCCUCGCGCUAUUGGAGCGGCCGAUGGCAGAUUAGCUAGUUGGUGGGGUAAAGGCCUACCAAGGCGACGAUCUGUAGCUGGUCUGAGAGGACGACCAGCCACACUGGGACUGAGACACGGCCCAGACUCCUACGGGAGGCAGCAGUGGGGAAUUUUGGACAAUGGGCGCAAGCCUGAUCCAGCAAUGCCGCGUGUGUGAUGAAGGCCUUCGGGUUGUAAAGCACUUUUGGCAGGAACGAAAAGUGCCGUGCUAAUACCACGGUACGAUGACGGUACCUGCAGAAUAAGCACCGGCUAACUACGU